rnacentral:lncRNA from 1 species
CCCUAGCCAAUCAGAGGCGCUUGUGUGGAACUGUCCAAUCAGGUGCCAGCCUCGGAGGAAGGGGCGGCCUUCCACCACCUGGCUGCGUGUUUGUUUCCGGACCCGCGGAGCUCGGUGUUGUGUGUCCGUUGCGUGUUCGGUGUCCAUUCCUCUGUCCGGUUUUCUCCGCGAGGCUCCAAGUGACUCCGCCAUUGCCUCCAUGGCCCUGGGACCUGCAGGUACUGGAAGGUCCAUUGGGAAGAUGUCGGGACACCACAGAAGACAAGAACCGAAUGACCUUAAAAGAAGAAGAAAAGGGAAGAAAUGCUGAUAUAUUGCCUAAAAAAGACAGUGAACAGUUAAAAAGAAAAGAAAAGGAAUGUGGGAAAGAAGUUGAAACAGCAACUCAAACAGACUCUGAAAUCACUGGUCACAGAAUUGAGGACAUUAGGAAAGAAUUUGGAUCAGGUUGUGCAGAAGCGAAGCGAUACCCACAAGCAACUUUCUGA